CCCUGCAGCCCAAGACUGGUUGCCCACUGAAGCUAAGCAGGGUUGAGCCUGGUCAGUACCUGGAUGGGUGUCCUCCUGGGAAAACUAGGUUGCUGCUGGAA
rnacentral:rRNA from 1 species